UCGCCUACGGGUGGCUGCAGUGGGGAAUAUUGCACAAUGGGCGCAAGCCUGAUGCAGCAACGCCGCGUGAGUGAUGAAGGCCUUCGGGUUGUAAAACUCUGUCCUAUGGGAAGAAACAAAUGACGGUACCAUAGGAGGAAGCCCCGGCUAACUACGUGCCAGCAGCCGCGGUAAUACGUAGGGGGCAAGCGUUAUCCGGAAUCACUGGGCGUAAAGGGUGCGUAGGCGGCUUAUCAAGCCAGGGGUGAAAGGCAUUGGCUCAACCAAUGUAAGCCUUUGGAACUGAUAGGCUUGAGUGCAGGAGAGGUAAGUGGAAUUCCUAGUGUAGAGGUGAAAUUCGUAGAUAUUAGGAGGAACACCAGUGGCGAAGGCGACUUACUGGACUGUAACUGACGCUGAGGCACGAAAGCGUGGGUAGCGAACAGGAUUAGAUACCCCAGUAGUC
rnacentral:rRNA from 1 species